rnacentral:rRNA from 1 species
GAUGAACGCUGACAGAAUGCUUAACACAUGCAAGUCAACUUGAAUUUGGGUUUUUAACUUCGGUUUGGGUGGCGGACGGGUGAGUAACGCGUAAAGAACUUGCCUCACAGCUAGGGACAACAUUUGGAAACGAAUGCUAAUACCUAAUAUUAUGAUAAUAGGGCAUCCUAUAAUUAUGAAAGCUAUAAGCGCUGUGAGAGAGCUUUGCGUCCCAUUAGCUAGUUGGAGAGGUAACGGCUCACCAAGGCGAUGAUGGGUAGCCGGCCUGAGAGGGUGAUCGGCCACAAGGGGACUGAGACACGGCCCUUACUCCUACGGGAGGCAGCAGUGGGGAAUAUUGGACAAUGGACCAAGAGUCUGAUCCAGCAAUUCUGUGUGCACGAUGAAGUUUUUCGGAAUGUAAAGUGCUUUCAGUUGGGAAGAAACAAAUGACGGUACCAACAGAAGAAGUGACGGCUAAAUACGUG